CAACAGUUAACGACAAUAAAUGAUAUCGAAAAAUUACGUCUCACGUUUGACUUGGUCCCGGAAAUAAUGUCUGCUCCACAAAUACCACCCUAUUCCCUAUCUAGUGCACUACUUUCAACCAGGGCCCAUAGGGAAUAAGGUGCCAUUGGGGAUACAGACAAUGAUAUUUGGAGGAAGCUUCUUUUUUUUUGUUGGAAGGGAAAUCCUUCACUUUGACAAAGAGGACCAAAAGUCAAGGGUCGCGACCUUACGUGACCUUUAGGAUCCAUAACACUGACCAGGAAGUGUUUAAUUCUCACCCUUCACACUCGACGGCAGCCCCCUCUGAGUAGGACGAAGUUACGCCCCUUAGACACUGAUCUAAGAUCAGUUUUGUGUUUGUCCUCUCCCAACAGUGAAGGUUCGGGUUUAAGGAUGGGAAACUGACCCUAGAUCUCCCUUUAAGGGAUACUCUGACCUGGAGCCGGUCUUUCUCACAACACUACAGAACCACAGAGGACAGCCUACAUUCUCAAAAUAUCAAAUAAAAACAUUUAUCAAAACAAUUUCAUGGGCAUUUUACCAACCGUAGCUGUGCUUUGGAGAGAGGUCUUUCAACUCACUUAGAUACACAAAAACAAUGUGUAUAUUUGACAGAAUAUAAUCAACAACAUUUGUGUGGUUGCUAUGGCGAGGAAGUGAACUAAACACGGGGUUAGUUAAGACUAGUAGAAGGCUUUUUGGCUGGUUUGUUGACAUGACAGAAUCCUCAUGUUCUCAUUACACUGACGUUUAGAGAAGCCUGGGGACAAACCUACCUCUUUCUCCAUCCAACAUCUCACCGUUGGGGGGGAAAGGGGGGAAACACUGGUAAUAGAGUAAUUGUACUAGCCACCACCACAAGCUCAUUUUUAAACCUCUCCAUCUCGUUAGGGUUGGAGGCCUGUAUGUAUUUCUCUUCACAGUCAAACAGUUCAUGGUUGCAACACAUGGAAUCAACUAAACAGAGCUCAGAUUGCCUGAUUCAUCAACAGCUUGUUGUAUGUAGGCCUACUAGACUACAGCAACAGAGAAGAGAACAGAGAUAGUAUGAAUUGCGUUGAAGGUAAAGUUAACUGUCAAAAUAACAUUUCAUUUCAGACCAAUUCGGGAAGAAAUUAGAAUUUAAAACAAAUCGAUAAACACAUGUACAAAAACAAAAGGAGAAAAACCCCAUGUCCGAGGGGAUCCAAGAUGGCCGACAACGGUUGUUAGUUUCUAUUUCAAAUGAAGUCACUUGUGGUGCUUGAAUACAUUCAAUGCCUAGCUAAUCCUUCUGCUAUACGUGUUUUUAAUCCAUUUAUAUAUAUUUGAUAAUAACACAGACAGGAUGAUGUUAUGUUGUUGCCACUACUCCCUUAACUGCCUGACUGACUGACUAACUGACUGACUGACAAUAAUCUACUUCUCCUUUCAGCCGUCGGGGAGUGGUGUGUGUGUGCUGUGUGUGUGGCAUGUGUGCAACAGCUACCAGUGAACAGGAAAUGAAGAGAAGCUCGGCUCAGAAAGAGAGAGCAGGCCGGUUGCUUAGCAACAGGACUGUGGGGCGACCACACAGCGCCUGCGCUAAAUACCGCCACAAAAGAAGACCACAAUCUGUUUUGUUUUGAUGUUUUCAGUUACACACAGCCAGACGAACAAACCAACGAACGCAGACAAAAACACGUCUCUAGAGAGGAGAGAGGGGAGGGAGGGAGAAAGUGGGGAGGGAGGGAGAGAGAAAGAGUGGGGAGAGAUGGAGAGAGGGAGAGGGAAAGAGUGGGAAGGGAGAGAGGGGAGGGAGGGAGGGAGGGAAGGGAGAGUGAGAAAGAGACAGGGGGUAGGGAGGGAAAGAGUGGGAAGGGAGGGAGAGCGAGGGGACGGAAGGAAGGGAGAGUGAGUAAGAGAGAGGGGGGCAGGGAAGUGGGAAGGGAGGGAAAGAGUGGGAAGGGAGGGAGAGAGGGAGGGAAAGAGUGGGAAGGGAGGGAGAGCGAGCGAGGGGACGUAGGGAAGGGAGAGUGAGAAAGAGAGAGGUUGGGCAGGGAGUGAGAGAGGGAGGGAAAGAGUGGGAAGGGAGGGAGAGAGGGAGGGAAAGAGUGGGAAGGGAGGGAGAGAGGGGAGGGUGAAUAGAAAUGUGAAACAGGGAAGAAAUGCGAGUAGAGAGAGAGUGAUCUCAACCACUUCUCAGAUAGACAGAGGUGACAGCUCUCUUCUGAGCUCUGACGGCUGUCACAGAAGUGGGUUGACGUGACGGCGUGUGUGUGUAUUUAUCUCCUUGUCUGCCUGUCUGUCUGCUUGUCUGUCUGUCUGUCUCUCGUCUGUCUUUCAAAGGGACCUGCAUGUGUAGAAAUGCUACGAUCACACGCCAUCACACACAGCAUGAAUAUAACGUGGAGGGGAUAGAUGUCAAACCUGUCAGACACAAUCCAAUAACCCAGGUAUCGAAGAAAAACUAAUACUGGAAAAAUACAUAUAGAUUUCCUACCCCUAUAUUGAAAAACAAAUAUUAAAACGAUUCUCCCCUGUUUGAGAGCUUGUAGUCAGUCUCUUGUCUUGUAGUCAGUCUCCUGUCUUGUAGUCAGUCUCCUGUCUUGUAGUCAGUCUCCUGUCUUGUAGUCAGUCUCCUGUCUCUCUCCUGUCUUGUAGUCAGUCUCCUGUCUCUCCUGUCUUGUAGUCAGUCUCCUGUCUCUCCUGUCUUGUAGUCAGUCUCCUGUCUCUCCUGUCUUGUAGUCAGUCUCCUGUCUCUCCUGUCUUGUAGUCAGUCUCCUGUCUCUCCUGUCUUGUAGUCAGUCUCCUGUCUCUCCUGUCUUGUAGUCAGUCUCCCGUCUCUCUCCUGUCUUGUAGUCAGUCUCCUGUCUCUCCUGUCUUGUAGUCAGUCUCCUGUCUUGUAGUCAGUCUCCCGUCUCUCCUGUCUUGUAGUCAGUCUCCUGUCUCUCCUGUCUUGUAGUCAGUCUCCCGUCUUGUAGUCAGUCUCCCGUCUUGUAGUCAGUCUCCUGUCUCUCUCCUGUCUUGUAGUCAGUCUCCUGUCUCUCUCCUGUCUUGUAGUCAGUCUCCUGUCUCUCUCCUGUCUUGUAGUCAGUCUCCUGUCUUGUAGUCAGUUUCCUGUCUCUCUCCUGUCCUGUAGUCAGUCUCCUGUCUCUCUCCUGUCUUGUAGUCAGUCUCCUGUCUCUCUCCUGUCUUGUAGUCAGUCUCCUGUCUUGUAGUCAGUCUCCCGUCUCUCCUGUCUUGUAGUCAGUCUCCUGUCUUGUAGUCAGUCUCCUGUCUCUCCUGUCUUGUAGUCAGUCUCCCGUCUUGUAGUCAGUCUCCCGUCUUGUAGUCAGUCUCCUGUCUCUCUCCUGUCUUGUAGUCAGUCUCCUGUCUCUCUCCUGUCUUGUAGUCAGUCUCCUGUCUCUCCUGUCUUGUAGUCAGUCUCCCGUCUCUCCUGUCUUGUAGUCAGUCUCCUGUCUCUCCUGUCUUGUAGUCAGUCUCCUGUCUCUCCUGUCUUGUAGUCAGUCUCCUGUCUCUCCUGUCUUGUAGUCAGUCUCCUGUCUCUCCUGUCUUGUAGUCAGUCUCCUGUCUCUCCUGUCUUGUAGUCAGUCUCCUGUCUCUCUCCCGUCUUGUAGUCAGUCUCCCGUCUCUCCUGUCUUGUAGUCAGUCUCCUGUCUUGUAGUCAGUCUCCUGUCUUGUAGUCAGUCUCCUGUCUUGUAGUCAGUCUCCUGUCUUGUAGUCAGUCUCCUGUCUCUCCUGUCUUGUAGUCAGUCUCCUGUCUCUCCUGUCUUGUAGUCAGUCUCCUGUCUCUCCUGUCUUGUAGUCAGUCUCCUGUCUCUCUCCCGUCUUGUAGUCAGUCUCCCGUCUUGUAGUCAGUCUCCUGUCUCUCUCCUGUCUUGUAGUCAGUCUCCUGUCUCUCUCCUGUCUUGUAGUCAGUCUCCCGUCUCUCCUGUCUUGUAGUCAGUCUCCUGUCUCUCCUGUCUUGUAGUCAGUCUCCUGUCUCUCCUGUCUUGUAGUCAGUCUCCUGUCUCUCUCCUGUCUUGUAGUCAGUCUCCCGUCUCUCCUGUCUUGUAGUCAGUCUCCUGUCUUGUAGUCAGUCUCCUGUCUCUCCUGUCUUGUAGUCAGUCUCCCGUCUUGUAGUCAGUCUCCCGUCUUGUAGUCAGUCUCCCGUCUUGUAGUCAGUCUCCCGUCUUGUAGUCAGUCUCCUGUCUCUCUCCUGUCUUGUAGUCAGUCUCCUGUCUCUCUCCUGUCUUGUAGUCAGUCUCCUGUCUCUCCUGUCUUGUAGUCAGUCUCCUGUCUUGUAGUCAGUUUCCUGUCUCUCUCCUGUCCUGUAGUCAGUCUCCUGUCUCUCUCCUGUCUUGUAGUCAGUCUCCUGUCUCUCUCCUGUCUUGUAGUCAGUCUCCUGUCUUGUAGUCAGUCUCCUGUCUUGUAGUCAGUCUCCUGUCUCUCCUGUCUUGUAGUCAGUCUCCUGUCUCUCCUGUCUUGUAGUCAGUCUCCUGUCUUGUAGUCAGUCUCCUGUCUUGUAGUCAGUCUCCUGUCUUGUAGUCAGUCUCCUGUCUCUCUCCUGUCUUGUAGUCAGUCUCCCGUCUCUCUCCUGUCUUGUAGUCAGUCUCCUGUCUCUCUCCUGUCUUGUAGUCAGUCUCCCGUCUCUCCUGUCUUGUAGUCAGUCUCCUGUCUCUCUCCUGUCUUGUAGUCAGUCUCCUGUCUCUCCUGUCUUGUAGUCAGUCUCCUGUCUCUCUCCUGUCUUGUAGUCAGUCUCCCGUCUCUCCUGUCUUGUAGUCAGUCUCCUGUCUUGUAGUCAGUCUCCUGUCUUGUAGUCAGUCUCCUGUCUCUCUCCUGUCUUGUAGUCAGUCUCCCGUCUCUCCUGUCUUGUAGUCAGUCUCCCGUCUCUCCUGUCUUGUAGUCAGUCUCCUGUCUUGUAGUCAGUCUCCUGUCUUGUAGUCAGUCUCCUGUCUCUCCUGUCUUGUAGUCAGUCUCCCGUCUCUCCUGUCUUGUAGUCAGUCUCCUGUCUUGUAGUCAGUCUCCUGUCUUGUAGUCAGUCUCCCGUCUCUCCUGUCUUGUAGUCAGUCUCCUGUCUCUCCUGUCUUGUAGUCAGUCUCCUGUCUCUCCUGUCUUGUAGUCAGUCUCCUGUCUCUCCUGUCUUGUAGUCAGUCUCCCGUCUCUCCUGUCUUGUAGUCAGUCUCCUGUCUCUCCUGUCUUGUAGUCAGUCUCCUGUCUCUCCUGUCUUGUAGUCAGUCUCCUGUCUCUCCUGUCUUGUAGUCAGUCUCCUGUCUCUCCUGUCUUGUAGUCAGUCUCCUGUCUCUCCUGUCUUAACCUAUCGGCCCAGUUGACACACUGCUAAAGGGUUGGGUUUAAAACAUGGCCCAAAAGGACAACAAAACCAAAUUCACUUCCCUUUCUUGAAUGAUAUUUCACAACCACCAGACCACGUUUACCAUACACACACUCACACACACACACACACACACACACACACACACACACACACACACACACA
rnacentral:lncRNA from 1 species